AGUGAACGCUGGCGGUAGGCCUAACACAUGCAAGUCGAACGGCAGCACAGUAAGAGCUUGCUCUUACGGGUGGCGAGUGGCGGACGGGUGAGGAAUACAUCGGAAUCUACUUUUUCGUGGGGGAUAACGUAGGGAAACUUACGCUAAUACCGCAUACGACCUACGGGUGAAAGCAGGGGAUCUUCGGACCUUGCGCGAUUGAAUGAGCCGAUGUCGGAUUAGCUAGUUGGCGGGGUAAAGGCCCACCAAGGCGACGAUCCGUAGCUGGUCUGAGAGGAUGAUCAGCCCCACUGGAACUGAGACCCGGGCCAGACUCCUACGGGAGGCCGCAGUUGGGAAUUUUUGACCAUGGGCGGAAGCCUGAUCCAGCCAUACCGCGUGGGUGAAGAAGGCCUUCGGGUUGUAAAGCCCUUUUGUUGGGAAAGAAAAGCAGCAGGUUAAUACCCCGCUGUUCUGACGGUACCCAAAGAAUAAGCACCGGCUAACUUCGUG
rnacentral:rRNA from 1 species